UGAGGGAAAGGCGAAAAGAACCCCGGCGAGGGGAGUGAAAAAGAACCUGAAACCGUGUACGUACAAGCAGUGGGAGCCCCACCACCAAAGCAUUCUCUGGUGUUGAAGGCCCUGCAAAGCAGCAUCGCGGUGGCGGAGCGUCGUUUGCGACGCCCAACACACAAAACAAGCGGUGAGUGCUUUGGGGUGGGGUGACUGCGUACCUUUUGUAUAAUGGGUCAGCGACUUAUAUUCUGUAGCAAGGUUAACCGAAUAGGGGAGCCGGAGGGAAACCGAGUCUUAACCGGGCGUUAAGUUGCAGGGUAUAGACCCGAAACCCGGUGAUCUAGCCAUGGGCAGGUUGAAGGUUGGGUAACACUAAC
rnacentral:rRNA from 1 species